AUUGAACGCUGGCGGCAGGCUUAACACAUGCAAGUCGAGCGGGGACUUCGGUCCUAGCGGCGAACGGGUGAGGAAUGCUUGGGAACCUGCCCAGUAGCGGGGGAUAACGUUUCGAAGGGAACGCUAAUACCGCAUACGCCCUACGGGGGAAAGGGGGGGACCUUCGGACCUCUCACUAUUGGAUGAGCCCAAGUCGGAUUAGCUAGUUGGUGGGGUAAAGGCCUACCAAGGCGACGAUCCGUAGCUGGUCUGAGAGGAUGAUCAGCCACACUGGAACUGAGACACGGUCCAGACUCCUACGGGAGGCAGCAGUGGGGAAUAUUGGACAAUGGGCGAAAGCCUGAUCCAGCCAUGCCGCGUGUGUGAAGAAGGCCUUCGGGUUGUAAAGCACUUUAAGCGAGGAGGAAUGGCUGAGGGUUAAUAACCUUCAGCAGUGACGUUACUCGCAGAAUAAGCACCGGCUAACUCUGUGCCAGCCGCCGCAGUAA
rnacentral:rRNA from 1 species